rnacentral:rRNA from 1 species
CCGCGUGAGUGAUGAAGGCCUUAGGGUUGUAAAGCUCUUUCACCGGUGAAGAUAAUGACGGUAACCGGAGAAGAAGCCCCGGCUAACUUCGUGCCAGCAGCCGCGGUAAU